rnacentral:rRNA from 1 species
CGGGUGAGUAAUACAUCGGAACGUGCCCAGUAGUGGGGAUAACCCGGCGAAAGCCGGACUAAUACCGCAUACGACCUAUGGGUGAAAGCAGGGGAUCGCAAGACCUUGCGCUAUUGGAGCGGCCGAUGUCAGAUUAGCUAGUUGGCGGGGUAAAAGCCCACCAAGGCGACGAUCUGUAGCUGGUCUGAGAGGACGACCAGCCACACUGGGACUGAGACACGGCCCAG